AGAUACGGCCUGACACCAUACUUGUAGCGCUGUAUUUGUGAGCAGUGUUUGAAUGAAAGCAUGUUUUGUGUGUUUGAAUGUAUAUAUGUAUUUGUUUGCAGUGUUGGCAUUUGAAUGCAGUUCUAUGUUUGUAUGUACUGUUGCUAUUUGAAUGCCGUUGUGUACUUGUGUAGUGUUUGUGUUUAAAUGUGCUUGGAUGUAUGCACAUACUAUGCCCCGCAUAUACACACUGAAACAAACACACACAGAUGCACAUGUGUGCUCUCACACACACACACACACAACAUAUUCAUACAAAUAUCACAAAUUACAUAUUUUUAACCACGCCCUGCUUCCAUAUGUUUUUGAUGUAGGAGGGUGGCUUCACUGGGGUCCAGUAGCAUCUGUAUAAGUCUGAUGGGAGUCUGGUCCAGGCUCUCCCUGCUCCUGGCUGUUCUUUGUCCUCCAUCACGCCUUCUCUCGCACAGCUUGUUGGUAAGCUGAGAGGAAGUGACUUCACAUAAAGAAAACAUGCCCAUCGGGUGGCUGUAAGGGCAUGUGCCACCCAAUGGGCCCACCUGAGCUUGCAGGCCCCCUGCAGCCACAACGGCGG